rnacentral:lncRNA from 1 species
GGUGGCCUUAUGCCUACCCGCACCCUAGGACCGUCGCGGCGGCCCGCCGGGAACGGGGCGGGGGUCGUGACAGAGGUGGUAUCAGAGCAAAGGUUAAGAAGAGUCCUGUCAGAGCAAUAGGAUGAGUCAGGAUUAAGUAUAGGAUUAUACUAUGGAGCAUAGGAUUUUUCUAUAUGUUAAUUUAUGAGUCAUUUACAACUCAGUAAAAUAUAUAAUGACUCAGUGUGUAACGACCAUCCUCUCUUUUUGACUUUUUUAGAGAGAUAUAAAGAAUACCUCCAAGGAGAGGACCGGCUCGUCCUGGAAGGAGGAUGGAGCCAGAUAUAGUAUUGGAUGCGGGUUCUGCACAUGUCGAGCCCCAAAGAGAAAAAUUUCCUCCUGCUGAUAGACGGAGGGUUGAUGAUCAAGGAGAGGUAGGAAGUAGAGAUGCAUUAAUGGAACAGUUACUGGCGGAGAAUCAGGCUCUGAGAGAGCAGAUUGCUCGGGGGAAACCUCCUGCCCCGUCAGUAGUAUCCAUCCCACCUCCUGUACCUGUGCCAAGAAGUUUGGCCAGGCGGGCUCUAGAUGAUGAGGGGAUUACUAUACAGGAAUUUCUUAGGCUCAGAACCCCAGAGUUUAAN